ACAGGGCCCUCGGAUCGAUUCGCGACGCGACUACACGCGCAACACCUGUCGCCCGGUGACCAGGCCGCGCACAACGUCCAUUGUUGCGAGCCGCGCGCCGCCGUAAUUGGAGACACCGAGGAUAAACUCCGAGAGACAAGCGAAAAUUACCGUUGGCGGCGUUUUCCCGCGCGGACGGGCCGAGGUGACUGGCGCCAUUCUUCUCGGCGGAAAAUUGUCAUGGCACCGGAAGCGGACGACCCGCCGGGGAACCGGAAGUCGCCGUGGGACCUCUCGGAAACUUGAAAAUAUCGCCGUUCCAUGGGAACGCGGCCCGACACGCAGCGUAUCCUCCGUUGCGUGUAACUCGUGCAAAUGACGAAGCUCCGUGUAAUCUAGCCGGUUAGCCGCGCGAAGCGUCUCCUCGCGGACUGUACAUUUACGAAGUUCAUUUCUGAAACAAUGCACAGGGCGAAAUCAACGUUACGAAAUGUUUCGAAGUCGCAGCUGAAAAUCUAAGGAAAAAACCGUAAUAAUUGGAAGCUAGAGAAUCAACCUCGCGUUGGCUUCAUUUAUAAAUAUUGCAUGAAAUCGCGUUACGCCCUCGUGCAACCGAACGCCAACUCCUGCCGAACACGCGCGGCGUUUUACGCGUAAAACGAUAUCGGCCGUCAAUAAUCGAAAUUAACUAUUCAUCGACUGUUCGCGCCUAUCCGCUUCCGAUUACGUGUGUAUGUUGCGACCCACGCCGCCCUGCCGCGCGCGUAGUCACACUUUUCAUCCGUCGGUUUACGGUCAGGUGAAUACGAACGCAGCCCGUGUACCGCGGACAAUGGGGAAAGGCAGAUGAAUCCUUCACCCGCGGAGGAUCCGCUCCUUUCGAACACGCGCCGCUCGCAACAUUUUGUCACGUACCCGCUGUCAGGGAGUCAUUUGCUCGGCCUUUCGCCCGUCCGAUUGUUAACGGAGAAAGAGACGUCCCCGCGAUUGGGAAACCGCGCGCUCGCGCCGCUGAAAAUAACAAUCGUCCAGACGCGGACCGGCGAUCGACGACGGAACGACGAACGUCGCCUCGCGAGACGACCGCUUGAUACGCAUCCAGAACCCGUGGGCGACGCCGCGGACGUCAUUCUCGAACUUGCAGCUUCCCCGGCGGAGACUCUGUCCUUG